rnacentral:misc_RNA from 1 species
AUUUUCACUUGCUGGUACCUCAAAAAGAAAUCCCCCAAAUCCUGUUUUGCCCACCGAAGCUGCAAAUUCUGGUCAAGGACACAGCAGCAAAAUUGGUCCUUCAAGUAGCUGGAUUUCAUCAUUGCAACGCAUUCAUUCUGCGAAGUGAUUAGCUUGCUACGAUCUGGUCAAGAAGAUUCUAGUGAUACAUCUAUUGGAGGCAGCAAAACCUACGGUGACUAGCGUCAUGCUUUCAGCUGUUUAUCUGUUAAGAAGUUCCAGUGAUGCAUUUAAGGGGCUCCAAUGUGCUUUGCUCCU